AGAAUAGAGAGAACGAAGAAGCUAAUGGAGUUGUGCUGGUAAAGAGAGACAAUAAGAGAAAAUUGACCAUUGAAAAGACUACCUGCUGUCUGGAAUAUUUUUCACGUUUUUGGAGGAGGAGCUUUCCACAUAUAUUUUUUUUCCCUGACCGAAUUCGGGAGUGUUUUAUGUUACAGAACUGGACUUGGCCUUUAAGUUUCUGCUGGAGAUUGGACCGAGAAAGUCGAUUGCUGAGUUGGAUUCCACUAUUGAGAAACAAGAUGGCGAGCCGUAACCCAGGAGCCCAGUAACCGCCGUCUAGCAGGAGAUACGCCCUCUGCUGGACAUUUCAAAUCAUCCAAACUGGUAUGACCUGCCCAUUUUUUCCUGCUAAAAAAAAGCAGUGGAUUCAGAAUUAACUCUUCAGGAUCAACAGAGAGAAAAGACAUUGAUUGAAGCACAAGUUAUCCAGUCUUUUGCUGGAUUUGGUUCUUUUGUGUUUUAUUGAUUUUCUUUCUGGAUCAUUUUCAGUAUUCAUUGUAAUUGUGUGGAAUGUAAAUUGUCUGUUGGGUUAUAAUAGAAAAAAGAAAUAGUUAAAACAGGAAAUUAACACCCCUUAACUUCCUAGAAAGAACUCUAAAUAACUAAAAUUGAUUAAAAAAUAGAUUAAAUUUGAACAAACUAUAAAUAAAAUAGUUAAUCGUACCAAUCUUGAACUUAAAUAGAACUAUAACCUAGGUUUAAAUAAAUAGUAUCCUUUAAUACCUAAAAUUAGGUGUAAAUGUGAAACAGGGGUCAAACCGAUUAUUCUGAAAGAAACAGGGAAACUAUUUUGAUUGAAUUUUGUGUCAUUGUAUGUGUAUUGUUUGUAAUAUUGUUCUUUUCAAAUAAUAAGCCGGCAGUUUAAUCAUA